UCGAGCCCUGUGCCAUUCCUCGGGUUCGUUCAAUUUUAUUGAAAAACUUCGGCAAGCUGCGGUUUGACGUGAAAUUAGUUAACGACUUGUCUCACACACAUAAAUUCGGUUAUAUAUUCGGUGGAUGCAGUUUCUUUGGACUUCUUGCGGGCGGUGGUCAUAAGAAAGUGAAUUUAUUGUAAAGAAGUGUUGCCGCUACAUUUAACUAAGUUUGGUGUACAUUUCACUUAUUUGAUUUACACUUUAAAUUGGCUCCUUCUCAAUGUGUUUGACUUUGUGUUAUUUUCGCUUUUGUUCUGUCGGCGUAGCUUGGAGUUUCUUCCGGGUUGCUUAUUGUUUGUUGCUAAUGAGCCACUUUUAGUUGUUGCAAAGUGCAAUUGUGGAAAACUUCAUGCAACUUCAGACAUUGGAAGUCUGAAGUGAUAAAAUGCGGUCGCACGGAUAUACGAUGUACUCUUCCAUCCGAAAAUGUGGUGCUUAAGGCAGAGGCGCGAAUGGUGAGAUUUUUGGUGAUUUAAUUUUAAGAUGGAUUACAGAAUCCGUGCUGUUCAAUAAUCAGGGUUGUGUUUAUUAAAAAAAAAAAAUAAUUAAAAUGGGUGGUUUUUGGGAUUACAAAUUAGUGGUUUAAAAAUUGUGUCGCUCCUCUUUAAAAGUGUAAAAAUUUAGUUUUUUAUCAAAUAUAAAUAGUUUCAAAGUGUAAGUUGCCGAACACUGCUCUAACCUAUUGAAGAUAAUGGCUCUGCGCGAGCUCUAGUUCGACAUCGUAGAAUGUAAUUUACUUUUGUCUAGCAGUGCAUGUUGGCCACUCAUGCGGUUUGCCCGCUGGAGGAAGAGGGGGCAGUUACCACCCCUCCGUCUUCGCUUUCUCCUCCUGUAUUCGCCCGAUGAGACUACCCCAAGUGCGAGAAGCUGAGCCAUAAUCGAUUUCGCCUGCAGAGCGCCGCUACAUGAAGGCAUGUCAUCGUCAUCCUCCCUGGCAUGCUCCUCAAAACAGCCUCGCUCCUCUGUCUAAGGUUAAUCAUUGUAUAUUGUAUCCUACGGCCUCAUGGGUUCGACAUAUGUCUAAGGUUACACCCUUGUGGAUUCCCUUGAUGAAUUUGACGAUUGUAUCUGGAUCUCAACUUAUUCACAGCCACAACUAAUGUACUAUAGCUGGGAGUAAUAUAAGACUCAAGGCUCAAAUUUAAGGAACGCCUAGAAUACACUUAAGGAUGAUGGCAACUAAGGACUGCGUGCGUCCCAGAAGGCGAUUUUUAUUUGCAAAGGAAUAGCCCAUUGACAUCUAGGUGACGAAUUCGCUAGAGUAUACAAAUUGUCGGAACCGUCUUUAGAAGAGGACAAAAGCAUCAAAAGUUCCCCAUUGUGCCAGCAGCGAUGACAACCCAAAAGGACGGUGAA